rfam:Oryza sativa (indica cultivar-group) chromosome 1, whole genome shotgun sequence.
AAUAAAUACAGUUUUACACUAUUCAUCUCCAACGUUUGACCUAUCAUCUUAUUUGAAAAUUUUUUAUGAUUACUAUUGUUGUUGUUAUUAGAUGAUAUAAAAUAUAAAUAGUACUUUAUGUAUGACUAAUUUUUUUAAAAUUUUUUAUGAAUUUUUUAAAUAAGACGUAUGGUCAAACAUUGGACACGGAUUUUCACGGCUGCACUUAUU